UCAAUAAGCGGAGGAAAAGAAACCAACAGGGAUUGCCCUAGUAACGGCGAGUGAAGCGGCAACAGCUCAAAUNUGAAAUCUGGCGUCUUCGGCGUCCGAGUUGUAAUUUGCAGAGGGCGCUUUGGCAUUGGCAGCGGUCCAAGUUCCUUGGAACAGGACGUCACAGAGGGUGAGAAUCCCGUACGUGGUCGCUAGCCUUUACCGUGUAAAGCCCCUUCGACGAGUCGAGUUGUUUGGGAAUGCAGCUCUAAAUGGGAGGUAAAUUUCUUCUAAAGCUAAAUACUGGCCAGAGACCGAUAGCGCACAAGUAGAGUGAUCGAAAGAUGAAAAGCACUUUGGAAAGAGAGUUAAAAAGCACGUGAAAUUGUUGAAAGGGAAGCGCUUGCAGCCAGACUUGCCUGUAGUUGCUCAUCCGGGUUUCUACCCGGUGCACUCUUCUACGGGCAGGCCAGCAUCAGUUUGGGCGGUUGGAUAAAGGUCUCUGUCAUGUACCUCUCUUCGGGGAGAACUUAUAGGGGAGACGACAUGCAACCAGCCUGGACUGAGGUCCGCGCAUCUGCUAGGAUGCUGGCGUAAUGGCUGUAAGCGGCCCGUCUUGAAACACGGACCAAGGAGUCUAACAUCUAUGCGAGUGUUUGGGUGUCAAGCCCGAGCGCGUAAUGAAAGUGAACGGAGGUGGGAACCCUUCGGGGUGCACCAUCGACCGAUCCUGAUGUCUUCGGAUGGAUUUGAGUAAGAGCAUAGCUGUUGGGACCCGAAAGAUGGUGAACUAUGCUUGAAUAGGGUGAAGCCAGAGGAAACUCUGGUGGAGGCUCGCAGCGGUUCUGACGUGCAAAUCGAUCGUCAAAUUUGGGCAUAGGGGCGAAAGACUAAUCGAACUAUCU
rnacentral:sRNA from 1 species